CCAAAACUCCGAAUACCGACGAGUACAGCUUGGGAGACAGAGCACCGGGUGCUAACGUCCGGACUCAAGAGGGAAACAACCCAUACCGCCAGCUAAGGUCCCUAAAAUUGGCUAAGUGGGAAACGAAGUGGGAAGGCUAAAACAGUCAGGAUGUUGGCUUAGAAGCAGCCAUCAUUUAAAGAAAGCGUAAUAGCUCACUGAUCGAGUCGUCCUGCGCGGAAGAUGUAACGGGGCUAAGCCAGUUACCGAAGCUGCGGAUUUGCAAUUUAUUGCAAGUGGUAGGAGAGCGUUCUGUAAGCCUGUGAAGGUGCGUUGUAAAGCGUGCUGGAGGUAUCAGAAGUGCGAAUGCUGACAUGAGUAGCGUUAAAGGGGGUGAAAAGCCCCCUCGCCGUAAGCGCAAGGUUUUCUACGCAACGUUCAUCGGCGUAGAGUGAGUCGGCCCCUAAGGCGAGGCAGAGAUGCGUAGCUGAUGGGAAACAGGUCAAUAUUCCUGUACCGAUGUGUAGUGCGAUGUGGGGACGGAUCUUAAUAGAUCAUCCGGGUGUUGGAUAUCCCGGUUUAGUUGGAAGUAGGCGAUGGGUAGGCAAAUCCGCCCGUCAUAUACCGAGGCCAACGAUCGAGCCAGCUUGCUGGUGAAGUGACUGAACGAGGUUCCAGGAAAAGCCACUAAGCUUCAGCUAUACACGACCGUACCGCAAACCGACACUGGUGCGCGAGAUGAGUAUUCUAAGGCGCUUGAGAGAACUCAGGAGAAGGAACUCGGCAAAUUGACACCGUAACUUCGGAAGAAGGUGUGCCCUAUUAGUGUGAAGUGAACAACGGAGCAUGAAUGGGUUGCAAAAAAUCGGUGGCUGCGACUGUUUAUUAAAAACACAGCACUCUGCAAACACGAAAGUGGACGUAUAGGGUGUGACGCCUGCCCGGUGCUGGAAGAUUAAAUGAUGGGGUGCAAGCUCUUGAUUGAAGUCCCAGUAAACGGCGGCCGUAACAAUAACGGUCCUAAGGUAGCGAAAUUCCUUGUCGGGUAAGUUCCGACCUGCACGAAUGGCGUAACGAUGGCCACACUGUCUCCUCCUGAGACUCAGCGAAGUUGAAAUGUUUGUGAUGAUGCAAUCUCCCCGCGGAAAGACGGAAAGACCCCAUGAACCUUUACUGUAGCUUUGUAUUGGACUUUGAACAGAUCUGUGUAGGAUAGGUGGGAGGCUUUGAAGCAGGGUCGCUAGAUCUUGUGGAGCCAACGUUGAAAUACACCCUGGUGUGUUUGAGGUUCUAACCUAGGUCCAUUAUCUGGAUCGGGGACAGUGCAUGGUAGGCAGUUUGACUGGGGCGGUCUCCUCCCAAAGCGUAACGGAGGAGUUCGAAGGUACGCUAGUUACGGUCGGACAUCGUGACGAUAGUGCAAUGGCAUAAGCGUGCUUAACUGG
rnacentral:rRNA from 1 species